rnacentral:rRNA from 1 species
AUUGAACGCUGGCGGCAGGCCUAACACAUGCAAGUCGAACGAGUGGCGGACGGGUGAGUAAUGUCUGGGAAACUGCCCGAUGGCGGGGGAUAACUACUGGAAACGGUAGCUAAUACCGCAUACCAUCGGAUGUGCCCAGAUGGGGUUAGCUUGUAGGUGGGGUAACGGCUCACCUAGGCGACGAUCCCUAGCUGGUCUGCGAGGAUGACCAGCCACACUGGAACUGGGACACGGUCCAAACUCCAACGGGAGGCAGCAGGGGGAAAUAUUGGACAAUGGGCGCAAGCCUGAUGAAGCCAUGCCGCGUGUAUGAAGAGGGCCUUCGGGUUGUAAAGUACUUUCAGCGAGGAGGCGUUACUCGCAGAAGAAGCACCGGCUAACUCCGUGCCAGCAGCCGCGGUAAUAC